rnacentral:rRNA from 1 species
GAAUUUUUCUCAAUGGGGGAAACCCUGAAGGAGCGACGCCGCGUGAAGGAUGAAGGUCUUCGGAUUGUAAACUUCUGUCAUUGGUGAACAAGGCCCACGCAGUAACUGGUGUUGGGAUUGAUAGUAGCCGAAGAGGAAGAGACGGCUAACUCUGUGCCAGCAGCCGCGGUAAUACAGAGGUCUCGAGCGUUGUUCGGAUUCAUUGGGCGUAAAGGGUGCGUAGGUGGCGGAGUAAGUCUGGUGUGAAAUCCCGGGGCUCAACCCCGGAACUGCACUGGAUACUGCUUUGCUAGAGUACUGGAGAGGAGAUUGGAAUUUACGGUGUAGCAGUGAAAUGCGUAGAUAUCGUAAGGAAGACCAGUGGCGAAGGCGAAUCUCUGGACAGUUACUGACACUGAGGCACGAAGGCCAGGGGAGCAAACGG